rnacentral:tRNA from 1 species
GGUGAGGUGUCCGAGUGGCCGAAGGAGCACGCCUGGAAAGUGUGUAUAUCGCAAGGUAUCAAGGGUUCGACUCCCUUUCUCACCGCCA